rnacentral:rRNA from 1 species
AGGGUGUAAACGCUGCAGACUUGGUGUUGGAGGCCCUUUGGGGGCAUUCAGUGCCGGAGAGAAGUUGUUAAGUCUACUAAUUGGGGAGUACGUCCGCAAGGAUGAAACUUAAAGGAAUUGGCGGGGGAGCACCGCAACGGGAGGAGCGUGCGGUUUAAUUGGAUUCAACACCGUAAAACUCACCAGGGAAGACUGUUACAUGAAGGCCGAGAUGAAGACUCUGCUAGAUCUUCAGAGAGGAGGUGCAUGGCGUCAGUGACU